AGCAGCCGCCGCGGUAACACGGAGGGGGCUAGCGUUGUUCGGAAUUACUGGGCGUAAAGCGCACGUAGGCGGACUGGGAAGUCAGAGGUGAAAUCCCAGGGCUCAACCUUGGAACUGCCUUUGAAACUAUCAGUCUGGAGUUCGAGAGAGGUGAGUGGAAUUCCGAGUGUAGAGGUGAAAUUCGUAGAUAUUCGGAGGAACACCAGUGGCGAAGGCGGCUCACUGGCUCGAUACUGACGCUGAGGUGCGAAAGCGUGGGGAGCAAACAGGAUUAGAUACCCCGGUAGUCCCUGUCUCUUAUAC
rnacentral:rRNA from 1 species